CCUACGGGAGGCAGCAGUGGGGAAUAUUGCACAAUGGGGGAAACCCUGAUGCAGCGACGCCGCGUGAAGGAAGAAGUAUCUCGGUAUGUAAACUUCUAUCAGCAGGGAAGAUAAUGACGGUACCUGACUAAGAAGCCCCGGCUAACUACGUGCCAGCAGCCGCCUAAU
rnacentral:rRNA from 1 species